GACGAACGCUGGCGGCGUGCCUAAUACAUGCAAGUUGAGCGCUGAAGGUUGGUACUUGUACCGACUGGAUGAGCAGCGAACGGGUGAGUAACGCGUGGGGAAUCUGCCUUUGAGCGGGGGACAACAUUUGGAAACGAAUGCUAAUACCGCAUAAAACCUUUAAACACAAGUUUUAAGUUUGAAAGAUGCAAUUGCAUCACUCAAAGAUGAUCCCGCGUUGUAUUAGCUAGUUGGUGAGGUAAAGGCUCAUCAAGGCGAUGAUACAUAGCCGACCUGAGAGGGUGAGCGGCCACAUUGGGACUGAGACACGGCCCAAACUCCUACGGGAGGCAGCAGUAGGGAAUCUUCGGCAAUGGACGAAAGUCUGACCGAGCAACGCCGCGUGAGUGAAGAAGGUUUUCGGAUCGUAAAACUCUGUUGGUAGAGAAGAACGUUGGUGAGAGUGGAAAGCUCAUCAAGUGACGGUAACUACCCAGAAAGGGACGGCUAACUACGUG
rnacentral:rRNA from 1 species